UACGUAGGGGGCAAGCGUUGUCCGGAAUCACUGGGCGUAAAGCGCGCGCAGGCGGUCAUCUACGUCUGGGGUGAAAGCCCGGAGCUCAACUCCGGGACUGCCAUUGAAACUGUUAGACUUGAGGACGAGAGAGGUGAGUGGAAUUCCCAGUGUAGAGGUGAAAUUCGUAGAUAUUGGGAAGAACACCGGUGGCGAAGGCGGCUCACUGGCUCGUAUCUGACGCUCAGGCGCGACAGCGUGGGGAUCAAACAGG
rnacentral:rRNA from 1 species